GUCCUACAAAAUAGUUUAAGGCAGGCUAAUUCAGUUUUCAUUUUCAAGGUUGAUCUGCGCUGUGCUGUUAAAAGCUAGAUUUGGAUACGUUACGCAAAAAUUGACUGUAAGAUUGUUUACAGCCAAAUAUAGAACAGGGGAGUAGGGACAAGGACGAACUUGUACCUACUCGACUCUGAGUAGGGUUUUGUCUGUUAAGGAUUGUCGUGUUGAUUGAAUGCCUAUCCAGUCACUGACGCACGCGAGAAGCGGCGGGCCGCGCUGGAGCGUCGAGCAAAGCACGUGCCAAUCUGAUAGUUAAUCGAAUAACGACAUCCAACAUUCAACUACAAUUGAACGAAGUCCGAGGACGAGAGACAGCCAACAAACGAAUAGUGGGAAGUCGCCAUCUUUAGCAAAAGUCGCCUCGUUCGACAAGGGGGAUCUCUCGAUCAACAUGAGACAAAGCAAAAAUUGACUUCCUAAGAAGCAUUUAGAUCCAGAGUAAAUACGAGAGAGGCCGUGAUCUACAUUUGGUGUCAAAGUGUCUGGAACAUUGGUAAAUGCUGUAGAAAAACAGGUCGCUGGACAAGGAACGCUAUAUGGUUCAAUUGCGCUUCUGAUACUCAGGGCACAAAAGAGUCGACCUACAAAGUGACCUUAACCACGCUGCUCCAUUGCAAUGCUGAGCCACGUAUGGCAAGGGCCGCUACAUCCAUCCUGCAAGAAUUCUAUUGAGAGACUUUUUUUUUUACAGUCAGCAUAGUUUGUAAAUCGGGCAAAAAGACAUAUCAGUAGAAACUAAUACUAAAACGAAUCAUUACUUGUCGAGAAUACAACACGUUUAUUAAUUUCAGACUCAGUUGUAUAUUCCUGUGAGAUUUGUCGAAUAAAGUGGUCAAUAUCGGCUUUCCUUCGGGAGAAGUAUCUUUUUUAGCGGAUUCUAUGACUCAGCGCACACUUGU